rnacentral:rRNA from 1 species
GACGUAGGCGGCCAGGUAAGUGGGGCGUGAAAUGUCUCGGCUCAACCGAGGACCUGCGCUUCAAACUGCCUGGCUUGAGUCCGGGAGGGGAGACGGGAAUUCCUGGUGUAGCGGUGAAAUGCGCAGAUAUCAGGAGGAACACCGGUGGCGAAGGCGCGUCUCUGGACCGGUACUGACGCUAAGGUCCGAAAGCGUGGGGAGCAAACA